AUGUUUGCUUCAGCUCCACUACUGAUGCUGGCUCUCGCCCCCUAUGUGUUCUGUGCUACUGAGCUCAUCCAGCCAGACUCAUUGGUUAUAAAGCCAGGAGAGACUUUAACCAUCACCUGUAGAGUGUCUGGAGCUUCUAUCACUGAUGGCAGCAGCCACUAUGGAAGAGCUUGGAUUCGACAACCUGCAGGAAAAUCUCUGGAAUGGAUCAACACCAUUGAUUAUGAUGGGGAUAUCUAUGAGAAAGAUUCACUCAAAGACAAGUUUGUUGUCUCUCGAGACAUUUCCAGUAACACUCUGACCUUACGGGGACAGAACAUGCAGACUGAAGACACAGCUGUGUAUUACUGCGCUCGUGAUCCACACUGA